UCCUAUCAGAUUGUAUAAGUAGCGAUCUCGUCUGAUCUCGGAAGCUAAGCAGGGUCGGGCCUGGUUAGUACUUGGAUGGGAGAUUGUAUAAGUAAUAUGUUCUCAUGGUAGGAA
rnacentral:rRNA from 1 species